AUUCGUUUGAAUCAGCACAGGAAGGAGAAUCUCGUCGUCCACCUCUCCCCAAACCACCACCCCCGUGGAAGAAGCCCCAGCCACAGAACAGACUUGCCUCUCUGCCCUAUUUUCUCUCCCCUCGGGCGACGGCGGCGGGGUGCUGCCCGGCGAGAUGUCCACCAGACGCCGGGUUCGGGCUCUCUGGAGCACUCAUCCUCUUACACUCCGGCGGCCAAAUCACCCGGAUCCCGCGUCAUCUUCCACUUCGGCGGCGACUCAACUCAAGUUUGCACAACACUCAUUUUCUACAUUGUUUCGGUCGGUGAGGCUGGAUCACACAUCAAUUACUUGUGCUUUUCUCCUAGCUGUUGUUCAUCUGUUUCAGAUUUGCACUUUUUUGGUGAUUUUUAUUUUGUUCCAUCUAUUCCUUUGGUACGGGUGGUCUAGGUGUAUGGCUCGAUCGAGAUGCAUAUCACUUCUGUUAUUGAAUCCAAAAUAGGCUGCUCUUUUUUUUCUUGUAAUCCCCUUCCAUCUAUUCCUUAUGUGCAGAUGCGAUUUUCUUUUCUUUGCUUGUAAUCCCCUUCGUCUGAACUAGAUAAGUCUCUCCUCAUCCUGUUGCUGCGCAGAUCUGAAUUUGCCGUGAUGUUUGUUUAGACAAUAUAUAGAAUUUUUUUGUUCAUACCCAUGCUUAUGUGCCAGAUCGGCUUCAUUUUUCUGAUGUCUUGAGGAUUCCUCUAACUUGGAUAAUCGAUGCUUAAUCCUGAUGGAACUUAAUAAUGGAUUUGAUGUUCUGUUCUUGAGCUAAUCCAAGGUUCAUAAUUAUUUCAUUCAAGUGGGGUAAAGUUUGAAUUCCUACCACUGAUUGCCAAGAUUUUCUGUUCCAUGGAUUUCAGUUUGUUUCGUUGACCCCUUAUCCACCGGAGUCACAGACUUGAGCAACGCUGAAGAUCAAGUGUGCCGUGGCGGCAAGGCCGCAUCCCUUGCCGGAAACGCUGGUUGAGCUACAAGUGGCUGGACCAAAAGGUAUUUUAGAUUAAAAUGUUCUCAUCCAAAAAAACCUUUAAUUCUGAACAUAGUAUGUGUCGGCCUUGUUCUUUGUUAGAUUUUGAAUAUAACCACAUUUCUCUCCUGAAAUCAGUAUCGUACAAGAUCGAAUUUCGUGGCUUCUGUGUCCCUUGUGUGAGAAACAUUCUGUGGGUUAGAUAUUUAGGAAAAAAAAUAUGAUGAUGCAUUUGUGUUCUACUGCGUUUGUAUGGUUGUCAAUCAGUGUCCCAGAUGGAUGGGCUUUGUUUAUUCACAAAAUGAAUUUGA